GCGGAAGUGGUGGAACUGACGUACGCGUACGCCUCAGAAGCGUAUGAGUUAACCCUUGAGGGUUCGACUCCCUUCUUCCGCACCA
rnacentral:tRNA from 1 species